rnacentral:rRNA from 1 species
AGUGAACGCUGGCGGUAGGCCUAACACAUGCAAGUCGAACGGCAGCACAGUAAGAGCUUGCUCGUACGGGCGGCGAGUGGCGGACGGGUGAGGAAUACAUCGGAAUCUACCUUUUCGUGGGGGAUAACGUAGGGAAACUUACGCUAAUACCGCAUACGACCUACGGGUGAAAGCAGGGGAUCUUCGGAACUUGCGCGAUUGAAUGAGCCGAUGUCGGAUUAGCUAGUUGGCGGGGUAAAGGCCCACCAAGGCGACGAUCCGUAGCUGGAGUGCGCGGGUGAGCGUGGACAGUGGAACUGGGACAGGGUCAAGACUCCUACGGGAGGGAGCAGUGGGGAAUAUUGGACAAUGGGAGCAAGCCUGAUCCAGCCAUAGCGCGUCGGUGUAGAAGGCGUUCGGGUUGGAGAGGCCAUUUGUUGGGAAAGAAAAGCAAGAGGUUAAUACCCCGCUGUUCUGACGGUAGUGAAAGAAUAAGCACCGGCUAACUUCGUG